GUGGCAGCAUUGCACGGCAUCCGGGCAUCGUCCAUGAGGCCAUGCAUGCUGCAACAGCAUGUUUGUCAUGUGUUUGUUGUUAGCUGUUUCUACUUUUGUUUAGGAAGCAGCUCAGCCGAGGGAUAGAGUUUCAGUGAUGUGAAGAGUGUGGAGUGAAUAACGCACCUGCCACGUGUAUGUACACAUGAUAAAGCAUUAGGAAAUUUAUUUCAACCUGAGGAGUAAUGCUGAUAUUGGUUGCUGUGAAUUCCAUUUUUAUGGUUUUUCAUCAAGAACAUUUCAGUGUGCUUCUUAGAAAAGAGCACGCAAGAUCUUUGAGCUUGUUCUGGCCAAUGGAACCUGGGGCUCGAAAGUGGAAGUUGGAGGGGGUUGAUUUAAAUUCUUCGACACUACUUUUUACGUUCCUUGAGAUCGCGAGUCGGCCGCCAGUGUCGAUCUACAACGCAGUUUCUUCAUGGAAUAGUGUGCAUGGGCUUGGCACGGAGAUCCUUUGGCCUACCGCUGGCCUUUGUUGAUGACAGAAGUGACUUGCACCAAGCAUCCUUUCCCUAUCUUCGCGACUUCUAGCUUCACUGCUUCUUAUGCUGCUACUCAACUUGUUUCUUCACUGACGAGUUACUUGAUCACUUCAUGGUCACUUCCGUCCACUAUGAGUCUAUGACACACCUGUAGACCUGUAGUCACUCACCACCAGCUGUUUUGUCAUCAGUUAUCAUUUGGACCAUCUCAUCUCUACUCCAUUGCAGCCACACACACAAGAGUCAUCACUUUUCUCAUCUUGCGGAAGUCCGGAAUCAGCUACUACUACUACUACUACACCAGGGUGUGACAUCAAGUACUCUCUAUACUCUUUGAUCCCGUCCAAAUUAUCAUAAGACCCACCAACGACAUUCCCGCAGUAGAGCGGAGGAUGUCGAGUGUCUGAGAGACCACAGCAUGCCAUCAUCAUCUACUCGUCCGUCUUGUCUAAUGUUGAGAUGUUGGCCAAGGAUCAAUAGUCGAGCGACUAUUGAUUACGGCCGGAAUCUCUCUGGCCCCCCCAUCAGCAGCAUUAGGAUCUGGCGAUAACAGUUGGAAAAAGAAGGUCGAGUUAAUCUAACGAAGCUAACUUAUAGUACCAUCAACAAGAUCAAUCGAUUUGUCAAGCCGAGACUAAAACAACAGACCACCAAGGCCACCGGGCAGUAGUAUCGAGUUACAACAAAAACCCUUUUUGUUCGGCCUAUUAUUCUCUCAGGACUUUGAACGGAUUCCGACAAUUGACGUGACCCAUCACCCAAAUAAUCAAUCCACUGGCACAACAGAAUAAGUCGCUGAGAUGACGUCAUCAGACGAGGAAUAUCCAACCCGGAUUUGUCCUAGAAUAAUGUCUAACCAUAACCUUGGCCCUCUUACCCCUAGCCCUACUUUUUUUCCCAUUUUUUCCAACCAGGAUCUCCCAAAAUACCCAAAAACCUAAAAGCUCGCCCCUUUCUCUUUAUACAAAUGUGUUUUACCUGCCAAAAAAAAAUAUGAGUCGACCUUACACCUUAAUGAGGGGUGGAAAGGUAAAAAAGAGAUGGAUCGACCUCCUCCUCCACAUACUGUAGUAAUAAUCCAAGGUCGGUACGAAAAAUUGUGCAAAGUCACGGGGAAAGGUAGAAAAACAACUUGGUACAGCACUGGGUGAGAGAAAGUAUUUUUAAAAAGAUAUAUAAUCCGAGAGAUGAUGCCAUAUAAUGAAUUACGCCCCUAGGAGAGACAGAUAGAGAGAACCGACCGGUUUGCUAUUUGAAAAAACUGGGAUAAUAAUAAAAAACUUGCUCCUGAUUAGCAUCGUCAUGCGACGGGCAAAGUUGAACGGGUACACGUCGAGUUCACUUUUUUGUUGUUUCUUAUCUUAUCUGGAGGUGUUGUUGAUGGAAUCGAAAGUGGUUGGGUCGGAAGAUGCAGGCGGAUGCGAUGAUGGCCAAGUCUGUGGAAUGUUGUACACUCUCUCUCUCUCUGUGUGUAGUAUGGAUCACAUCAGAUGUGUGUCUAAUAAUCUUAUGCGCUGCUGUUGUAGUUGUUUGUAGCUUUUCUCUUUCGUUUGGCGAUCACGCAGCCGUUGGCCAUCACAUCCAAAACCUUAGAGUCUACCGACACAACUUUCUCUUAGUCGACCGUUUCGUUUUUUGGCCGUUUCGUUUUGGGUUGUGUGGCGUCUCUGUCCUCAUAUUCAAAUCGACUCGCAUUCCCCCCCACGAAAAAAAUCAAAGUUUGGCCAUCGAAAAAAGAGAGAAUGUUGUUGAAAUCAGAAAGAAAAAAAAGGUGUAAGCGAAAAUGUUCAUUCAUUCAUUCUGAAUCUGGCCCUUUCACCUGCUGGCCGCCGCCGCCAUCAUCCAUUUCCCAAUCUUCUUCUUUUCUUUUCUCAUCCGCAUAUUGAACUGAUCAUUACCGACGACGUAGAUCUCAGUUGGCUAACGUCAUGUGCCUUCUCUAAAUGCAAAACGAAAUUUUCUUUCUCCUAUCGACUCGGAUAUUUUUUGAAUCCGCCGCUUUUUUCUUUCCCCAUUUGCACGCAGACUUAAAAAACGGGAUGCAACACACACAAAAGAGAGCAAGGGGAUGAAUCGGAUCGAUAUGGUGGAGGGAGAGACGUGCCGGAGAGAUUCAGCUGGCCGUCACUCUUCUUCUGGGACGAGCCAAAAGAGAAAAUAGAAAAGAAACACAAAAAUCAAAUAAUCAAAAGGGCGCCAUUUCUUCUUCUUCUUUUGGGCCUCUUUUUUGAUCACUUGCUCAACUUUCGUCCGUCAUCCCAAUCAAAAGGCGAGAGACGAAAACGGGACCAGGCAAUAAGAAAUGUACGGGAUUCAUUCAUCUCCUAUUUCAUCUCCUAUUUCUGAAUGGAUCCAAUCGCCCACAUCCCCCAUAGAAUCGGCACCUUGAUUACUGCUGCCCCCGCAAUAUC